CGCCCGGUGCUUGUUUUCGGUCAUUAUCGUUGAGCAGUGAAAGCUGAGCAUGGGAAGACGGCUGCCAAAUCCAAUCACAAAGCCACAGAAGUCCCGAGUCUUCUUACAGCAGCAGCAGCAGCGGCUCUGUACAGUGUUGGUGGGAUGAGAAGAUCAAUGAAGAGUCUGAGGACAUCGGGAAAUUCUCCCCCCGCUACCAGUGCAACCUGUUGCCAGCACGUCGGAUAGUCAUCGUCCCGCCUCAGGACCCGCUUCAUUGGUGGGAGGCUCCCCGAGAGGCGGCGCCUGCUGCGGCCUCAGUUUCAUCUCUGUACACGGAGGGUUAAUAACAGUGUGUGACCUGUUUCCCAGAGGUGGAACAAGUAUUCAGAUGCUUUACCUAAGUAAAAGUACCAAUAAAGCAAUGUAAAAAUA